UAUUGCUUUCUGAUGAAUAGGAGUAGAAAUGUGAACUUUCUACACAAUAUUCAUAUGAAGUAUUUAUGACAUGUUGUCUGUCAACGACUGUCAUGACUCCUGCUCUAUAGGUUUACUUAUAGUUUCCUCUCUAAGUGUUACAGUCAAUGUGAUGUGUUUCCCCAGACGGUGAUGACCCCACAGUCAGAUCAGGAGGUCCAGGUAGAGCUGUAUGAUGAAGACAUGGACAAGGAUGACUUUCUGGGCAGGUGUAACAUCAGUAUGAGAGACAUCAUACACUCCCAGUAUACAGACCAGUGGUACACUCUGAAUGAUGUGAAGUCAGGUCGUGUUCACCUGGUACUGGAGUGGGUACCAACAGUAUCACAACCAGACAGACUGGAU